rnacentral:rRNA from 1 species
AUUGAACGCUGGCGGCAUGCCUUACACAUGCAAGUCGAACGGCAGCACGGGAGCAAUCCUGGUGGCGAGUGGCGAACGGGUGAGUAAAGUAUCGGAACGUGCCCAGUCGUGGGGGAUAACGUAGCGAAAGUUACGCUAAUACCGCAUACGAUCUAUGGAUGAAAGCGGGGGAUCGCAAGACCUCGCGCGAUUGGAGCGGCCGAUAUCAGAUUAGGUAGUUGGUGGGGUAAAGGCUCACCAAGCCGACGAUCUGUAGCUGGUCUGAGAGGACGACCGGCCACACUGGGACUGAGACACGGCCCAGACUCCUACGGGAGGCAGCAGUGGGGAAUUUUGGACAAUGGGCGAAAGCCUGAUCCAGCCAUGCCGCGUGCAGGAUGAAGGCCUUCGGGUUGUAAACUGCUUUUGUACGGAACGAAAGGGUUUGGCCUAAUAAGCUGAGCUCAUGACGGUACCGUAAGAAUAUGCACCGGCUAACUACGUGCCAGCCGCCGCCGUAA